UCCUAAGCUGUCUGCUGCAUGGGUUCUCAAAUGUCAAGAUCAGGAGGGAAGCACUCACACUCUCCUUCCUCGAUCACUUGAGGUACUUCGCAUCAAGGCUCUCCAGGAUGAGACUGUGCCCUAUUUGAUGGCUCGCCUCCCUUCCCUCACCCAGCUAGAGGUAUGCGAUAGUCCAAAUUUGACAUCUCUGCCUCUGGGUUCCCUCACAGCAUUGAAAAGGGUGUUAAUUAAUAGCUGUGACUCCCUGGCAUCUCUGGAAGGCCUCUUCUCUGAACUAGAGAUAUCUGAUAGUCCAAAUUUGACAUCUUUACAGCUAGGUUUCCUCAGAGCAUUGAAAAAGUUGGAUGUUCUAUUCUGCAAGUCGCUCGCUUCACUGGAAGGGUUGCAAUCCCUUGGGAGCCUCACGGAUUUGACAAUAUUGGGCUGUUACAGCAUAACUCCGUGUUUGAACUUUAUGUCACAACAGGCAGUGGGAUUUAAUCUAUUCCCUAGACUAGAAAGAAUUAAGAUGGAUGACUUUUCUGCCCUUACAACGUCUUUCUGCAAGCAUCUUACCUCUGUACAGCAUCUAGUUCUACUUGAGAAUUCAAAUUCAAAUAUCAAAAGGGCCUGCCUUACAGAUGAGCAAGAGAAAGCACUUCAGCUCCUCACGUCUCUGCGAAAGCUCCGGUUUAUUCACUGCAAGAAUCUCGUACAUCUUCCUGCUGUGCUACAUAGCCUUCCUUCCCUCAAGAAAUUAUUUGUCCAGGAUUGUCCAUGCAUCGCAAGGCUUCCUGAGAAGGGCCUUCCACCUUCAUUGGAAAAGCUUAAGAUCAUUGACUGCAGUGCAGAGCUAAAUGAAAAAUGCAGAAUGCUUGCAAAAAUGAUCAAGGUCAAAAUUGAUAGGGGAUAUGUAAACUGAGUGCUCGAUGGCUCCGUUGGAUGAGCAUUUGUGCCUACGACUCUACGAGACACGCUACCUUGGCUGCCGUUUUCCACUUCUUAGCUCGCUACUUAACGUGUUCAAGAUCACCACACAAGUGCUGUCCAAAGGUCAAACGAGGUGCACCAAUUCAGUAGAUGCCCCUUUGUCCCUUAGAUGGCCUAUCAUACUGCACGUGGCCGGAUGCCUUUAUGCAGGCACACAGCUGAGGAUUUUUCAUUUCUGGUAUGCGAUGAAAAGAACAGUCCGUUGGGUGACUUUUGGUUGAACUGAUCGACAUCUCGCCCUGCCAGGAACGCAGCAGAUGACUACUCAUUUGUUCAUGAAUUUAAACACGCCACCUUGUGAUGUAUUGGUGCUAUUAGGAGUUCGGACAUUUUUCCCAUUCACGUGAUGCAAACUGUAUGUUAUUAUGCUCCCUCAAAGAAAAAAAAGGUUUCCUGGAUUAGGCAUUUUUAUU